CAUGUAGUCAUAGAUUCAAACACCAUUUCCCGAUUUGAAUUGGGGACUCAAAUCGAUAUAAUUUAGUGGUUUAUUUAUGGUUGCAAUUUGUAGUUGAAAAAAAAUUAAGCAAAGGCUUCAUUCAAGCUUCAUUUGCGCUACUCAAGACGCUAAAGUUGAAGCAAGAGUCGAUGGUAAUGGAGGGACAGCUCCGGCGCAGUCCUAGAAUUAUGGAACAAGCUCGACAAGAGUCAAUGGUAAUAGAGGGUCAGGUUCGUCGUACUCCUAGAAUCAUACAACAAGCCCGCCUUCAUACGGAAGUUGAGAAUGAACGACAACAACAAAGAAAUAUUCGAUUACAAUCGUCGUAUUUCACAAAUGGCUAAACGAGUGGCAUUGAGUGAAGCGAAAAGAGAAGAGAUUCUUAAAAAACGACGUGAUGUUUAUCAUUUGCGGACAAUACGAGAUAGACAUGCAAACAAAGAUGUGUAGGAAGCAUCAACAAGUUCUGGUAUUGGAACUGACAGUGAAAGAAGCAAAAAACGUCAGUUUGAAGUGCAUGUAUUACUGGACCAUCAUGCCGAAGGCAGGGAGAAAAGAGUAAGAUUUGGAAGCAACAAUGGCCAAGCAGGCAAUCAGGCCAUCCAUUUACCAUUGCGCAGAAGUCCAAGACUUAGUCCACAUCCUCAACACAGAGAACCAGCACAUACGCAUAAUGCAAUCGGUAUAGUCUCUUUCAAAAUACAGGCUUUAUAUUGGAGUGUCGAUAAGUUAAUGCCACGUGCUGUCCUUCCCUCCAACCAGUUACUUUGUAUGAACUAUGAACUGAACUAAACCAGAUCAACCUUUUGUUGUUCUACACAUCCCCACCUCUGUAUGUAAUUUGCGCACAUUUCUAACACAAGG